rnacentral:piRNA from 1 species
GAUCAGGACUGCUGAAAGAAUGAAGAAG